rnacentral:tRNA from 1 species
GCGGACCUGCAAAAACUUCCCUGACACGGAAGAGGUCACUGGUUCAAUCCCAGUAUCGCGCGCCA